rnacentral:rRNA from 1 species
UACGUAGGGUGCAAGCGUUGUCCGGAAUUAUUGGGCGUAAAGAGCUCGUAGGCGGUCUGUCGCGUCGAAUGUGAAAACCCGGGGCUCAACCCCGGGCCUGCAUUCGAUACGGGCAGACUAGAGUUCGGUAGGGGAGUCUGGAAUUCCUGGUGUAGCGGUGAAAUGCGCAGAUAUCAGGAGGAACACCGGUGGCGAAGGCGGGACUCUGGGCCGAUACUGACGCUGAGGAGCGAAAGCUAGGGGAGCGAACGGG